AUGAAAAUUAUACCUUCGUCAACUAAAUAGCAUUCAAAAUAGUUAAAUUCAACAUAAUAAGUCAUAAAUAAUAAAAAAUUUCAAUUUGAUCGACGUAAAUAGAUAACUAAAAUAUACAAAAGUUAUGGUAUGUCGAUUUAACAAAAAAAGGCUAAAAUGUCUAUUUCAAAAUUCAAAAUUACCUACUAUUGACAGAGUCCAAAAACUCCAAACUCAAAGUUAUGGUGUGUCAAUUAUUUUAAGAAAAGGACUAAAAGGUCUAUUUCAAAAUUCAAAAUUACCUACUGUUGAGUGUUGACAGAGUCAGAUUCUAACUAUAUAUAGUUUUGCCCCAAAGUAAAUUCGGUUGGUAGAAAAACAAAGAAAGGAAAUUAAGGUGACAAAUUGGCAAAUUGCCUAGGUACCAGAGCUUAUGCAUAACCAGAAUAGUAAAUAUCUCAAAAAAUAUCUCAUGACAGUAAUGUCGCCCAAAAAAUUAAAAUUUUAAAUUCAAAGUUUUAAAAAAUAAACAAAUAACUAUCUCUAAAGCUUAUAAAUAACUUCACAAAUUAACCUCAUAAGUUCAUAUUUUCUUAAUUUANUAUUUAUAAAAAUAUUAAAAUUUUAAAUUAUUUUAAAAUUUUAAAUUUUUUGGACCAAAAUGCCCUUCCCAACAGUUAAAACUUUGACUGCUGGGAAGGGCAUUUUGGUCCAAUAGGCUAUCUCCCUUGGAAGAGCCCAAAGUCAAAACCCAACUCCCAAUGUGCAUUGGGAGUUGGGGUGCUGCAGGGGCCUUGGGAGUUGGGUACAACCCAACUCCUUGCCGCGCCCGGUUUGGGAGGCACUUGCUACACAGGCCGGGCCGGGCCGUGCCGUGUCGGGCCACCGGGCCGCGGGAGUAAGGUCCAGCACGACCCGGUUCAACUGGCCGGGCCGGCCCGGCACAAAUGCUACAGUGCUCGUGCCGUGCCUGGCCCGGGCCGCGCGGCCCGUUUGACACCCCUAUUCUUACUGUUAUUUUUUCGAUUGUUAUCAUUAAGUGUUCUCUAAUUAAAAUUCUAUUUAUCCGCUGCAUCUAUGUUCCGCUACUCUUAGGCUGUUAUUUCAUCUAAUAUAUUUAAUAAAUUUUUAUGAGAAAUUUUUUUAUCAUGUACAUAGAUCUUUCCGGACAGAACAUUUUCAAUAGUUAAAUUUAAUUUGCAAAGUUUAAAGCGGCAUGAUAUAAAAUUCAAUAUUUGAUAUAUAGUGAGUGUCGAGCUGCAUCUCACGAGAUCAGUUUGACUAAAUUUUUAUCGGAUGCUUUCAGCUUUUUGUCCUACAAAAUUCUUCUUUCAAUUUUUCAUUAAUUAUGUUAAAAGAAAAAAAAUGUUCUAAAAUCAAUUAUUAACAAUUAAUGAAUAAUAAUGUACAGUUGUCAAAACUCAUACUUUCAUCAAGUAAUAGCAUUAAAAACAGUUAAGUUUACCGUGGUCUUAAAUUAAAUAAAAAUUUUACUUUAAUAACCUAAAUAAUUUAAAUUAUAGGUAAUGAAGGUUAAGAAUGUAAAUUAAAAGAAAAACAAUUAGCUAAAGGGUAUGUUUCAAAAAUCUCUAUAGUUGGAGGAUUCAAGUACAUUUUACCGAAAUUCAAAUGAAAGCCAGAAAAUUAAGAAAUGAUGGGACACUGGGACACAGCAAACAUCAUAUUUAACUAGCGAAGAGGCCCGCGCUUUGCAGCGGGUAGAAGCUGUAGUAGUAAUUAAUAAUAAUAAAAUAUCAAAUAUUUUUUUGUAUAUCUCACUUGGUACAUCUACCAAAAGUCUCUCACUGUAGACAACAGAUAUUAACCCAACGAUGGAGAGAGAGAAAGAGAGUAAAAUGGCUCAUUUUAAAUAAAAAUUAAAUGGGAGAGAUGAAGAGACGUAUGUUGAGAGAGAGAGAAUAAAAUGGGGGAGAUAAGGAGACGUAUGUUGAGAGAGAGAGAGAGGCAAAUAGCUCAUUCUAAAUAAAAAUUGAAUGGGGGAGAUGAAGAGAGGUAUGUUGAGAGAGAGAGUAAAAUGGUUCAUUCUAAAUAAAAAUUAAAUGGAUGAGAUGAAAAGACGUAUGUUGAGAGAAAGAAUAAAAUGGCUCAUUCUAAAUAAAAAAAAAUUCAAAAUUAGGAGGUUAUGACACAUCAGCUUAAAGCAUUGGAGAUUCAUAAAGAGUAAUAGAUAACAUUGAAAUCAUCAAUCCAACAUUCUAAACAUUACAAUGUUUACCCCCUCCCUUUUAACCACAAAUAAAAAAUUUCCCUUAUAGGGUGGGAUUAGCUAACCCCACCCCACCCCAGGAAUAGGGUUGGAAUUAAGUUAAUCUCACCCCUAUUUAAUUUUUAAAUAUAAAUAUAAAUUUUAAUUUUUAAAUUUAAAAUUUUAAAAAUUUAUAUUUAUUUUUAAAAAUUUUAAAUUUUAAAUUUUAAAUUAUUAUUUUUAAUUAUUUAAAUUUUAAAUUUGAUAUUUUAUAUUGACUUUUAAAUUUUUUAAUUGAGAUUUUAAAAUAUAUGAUUUAUUUUAAUUUGAAUUUAAUUUUAAAAUUUAAAAUAUUUUUAAUUAUUUAAUAUGUAAAUUUUUGACUAUUUUUAUAUUGUAACUUUAAAUUUUAAUUUGAAAUUUAAAAAUAUAAAUUUUAAUUAUAUUUUAAAAUAUUAUUAUUUUUAAUUAUUUAAAUUUUAAAUUUAAUUUAUAUAUAAUUGGGGCAAUACAUUAUUUUCUAUUUAUACAAAACAAUGUCCUUCUUAUUCACCUACUCCAAUCAAAUACUAUUUUACUUAUACCUAAACUAAACUCAAUUCUCACCAAACACAAAAUUAUUCUAACCCCACUUAAUCCUGAACUUAAUCCUAUCUCUGGAAUAACAAGUUCUUACUUAAUCCCAAUCAAACGAAGAAGUCACAUACAUGAAUGAAUACAUUAUAUAAAUAAUAGCAAAUUAAAAACGUCUCUCUAAAUUAAUUACUGACAGAAAAUAGUACCAUCUGAUCUACACCUUAGGGCCUAUUUGGAUAUUACAGCAAAAAUUCUCACGAAAAUUAUAAACUGUGGUUUUUGGACCUUUGUCCAAUGAAAUAGGAAAUCUGUAACUCUAAAGAUUCCGCGGAUUCAAUUUUUAAAGCUGUUUGGAUGCGCAUUGUGCAAUUUCACGAAUUUCUCUAAUUUUAAAUUUUCAAAUUUUCAAUAAAUUUAAAUUUAAAAUUUGAUAUGUGAAAUGUGUAAUUUAAAUUUUUAAAUAUUAAAAAUUUAAAAAUAAAAAUCUAAAUUAUUUUUUAAAAUUUUGAAAUUUAAAAUUUUUAAAAAUAAAAAUUUUAAUAUUUUAUAUUAAUUUAGAAUUUUAAAUUUUAAAUUUAAAAAAUAAAUUUUAAAUUUAAAGUUCAAAUUUGAAAUUUGAACAAUGAGAUUUGAGAUUUGAAUUUCAAAUUUAAAAUUUAAAAUUUAAAAUUUAAAAUUUGACAUUUAAAUUUAAAAUUAUAAAAUUUAUGAUAUUUAAAAUUUAAAAUUUAAAAUUUAAAUUUAAAAUUUAAAUUUAAAUUUAAAAAUAUGAAUAUAAAUUAAAUUGUAAAUUUUUAAAUUUAAAAUUUAAAAUCUAUGUUGAAAUUUAAAAUUUCAUGUUGAAAUUUAAAAGUUAGAACUUAAUGCACCUUUGUCCAAGAAUGAUGAAAUUCUUUUUCUUUGGUUAAAGUGGAUUAUAAUUUUACUUCAUUUUUUGGUGUAUAGUUUAACUAUAUUCCAAAAAUUACGGAAUUUUUUUUUCUUCCAAACGCUUAAUAAGAUAAAUUUUCUACCGGUAUAGCAUAUUAACUAUGCUAUGUUUUUAAGGGCAUCCAAACGGGGCCUUAUAUAGUACAUGCAAUACUAGGCCAAUACUAAUCAAGAGUAGCCGCAUAGUGGAAACGUCAACCUACUUCGCCAUACUUGCUACUGCUUGAAUUUUAAAAAAAAUUGAUUAUAAACAAUCAAUAAUAAGAAGAAUAGGCACACAAAAAAUAUAUUUUUAUUUAUUGGUUUUCAAGUAAAUGCUGCUCCUCUUGUAUCUCAAGAGUGACCCCUGCCAGUUGGAUCUCGGUGACGUUAGUGCCCUCGCUGAGCUGUUGUUGCGGCUGCUGUUGUGCCUGACUGUUGGAGGGACUGUGUGCUGAGCAUGUUGAGGACGAUAUGGAGGCGGAGGCGACCGAUUGGUGUUCUCGUCGAACACUACGACAGUAGCAAAAACAAUAGUAGCAUGUCAAAAGGGCGAGAAGAAGCACAAUGACUGCCGGAGAAAGGACUAUUAGGAUGAAUUUCGUCGUCCAAUGGUGAUGGGAAGGCUGGUUGGAAAAUACCAAAGGGUCGCCACUGCUCCUAAAUGGAUUCCACGGUGCGGGAGCGUGGAUCGGGCCGUGGAAAUGGUGAAAAUUCAUUAGAAGAUGAUGAUGGAGUUAUUGUGAAGGAGGAGAAGAAGAGAGAAUAGAGCUGUUCAGCAGGCACGCCCUGGUAGCGGGAGGAGUGCUUCAACCGACGGCGGGGAAAGAGCUAGCAGUCGUCACCGCCGGGGAGGAGGACUAGCAGCAUCGAAGGGAGCUAGGGAGGAAAGGGUUGGGGGUAGGGAGAAUGGGAGAUAUAGGAGGAGAGGGUUGGGGAUCGAGAGGGGAGAAUGAGAGAUCAGCUUAAAUUAUAUAAUAUUUCACAGUGAAACAUUUUUUUUUAUUUUUUAAUUUUUUUCGAACAGUUUUACGUACCCAUCCGCGCAGGCUAUACAUGCUAUAAUUCCUAGCUAUAACCUAAACUCUACUCCAGCCUAUGAUUACUAUAUAAGCUUACACUGUACCCUCUAAUUUAAGCUCAUGUUGGCCCACUUUUCUUACCAAUUAUUGUAAAAUAAUAAAUAUUUAAUGAUAAUAAAAAUAUUUAUUAGAUAUUUAUUAGUAAUAAAUAUUAAUAACAAAUAUUUAAUGAAAUAUUUAUUAAUAAUAAAUAUUUUAUGAUAAUAAAUAUUAAUAAUAAAUAUUUUAUGAUAAUAAAUAUUAAUAAUAAAUAUUUUUAAAAUAUAUAUCUAAUAAUUAAAUUCUAAUAGAAAAUUUUGGUGUGCGCGAAAUGUAAUAUGUACCUGUACCUAUGCAUUGCGGUGAAGGUGAGAGUUAUGACUCGAACGAAACAAAGAGAUCAAGAGAGAGCGCGCCUGAGAGAGCGGGGACCUUGGGUUCAGACCACGUACGGUCUCGCCUCCUCCUAAUCCUUGUCGUUCGUCCUCCCUACUGCUCCCGCGAAAGAGCUCGCAGUCGAGAGAGAGCGGUUAUCAGGAAAAAAGAGGUUCUUCCGUAGAAGAGAAAACAGAUAAGAGAGAGAUAAAGAGAUGAGGGGAGGAAAUUAAACAAGCGUGAGUAGGGGUGUAAAAUGGGUCGGGCGGCCCACGGGGCGCCUGGCCCGGCACAACCGUGGGUACUAUAGAACCCGUGCCGGGCCGGCCCAUCUUGGCAUUUGGGCCGUGCUGGGCCAUUACCGUGGGGCCGUCCAGCACGGCACGGCCCGCAUGGGCCAUGCCUGUUGGACCAGCACGGCCCCCCAGUGUGUUUGGGGACAGUUGGCUCCCCAACUCCUUAAGCAACAUCUUGGGAGUUCGGAAACCAGCUGGCUCGCCAACUCCCAAGGUAUGAAAAAAAGGGGGCCUAGGGCCGUAGACUCUAGGCCCCUUUUUAAGUUUGUAGGCCCCUUCUAUAGAGAUGAGCCUAUCUCUUCUUAAAUUUUAAAUUUUUGAGAAAUUUUUAAAAAAAAUUUCAAGGCUUCAUAAAAUUUAAAAUUAUUUCAAAAAUUUACUACUUUCUAAGUUUUUUAAUAAAUUUUAUUUUUUUAGCGAACAUAUUAGUGGAAACAAAAAAAAGAACUAUUUUAUUUUUUUAUUUUUUAAUAUUUUUAUAUUAUUUUUAAAAAUAAAAAAUAUUGAAGAGCUGGCACGGAGCCCGGCCCGGCCCGGCCCAGCUCGGCACGUGCAGUCCGGGCCCGAGGGCCAUGCUAGGCUGGGCAUCCAUCAAAUAUGGCCGGCGGAUUUCCUUCAGAUCGGGCCGAGCUGAUCCCUGGCCCGAUUUGGCCCGGGUGAAUGUGAGCCGUGCUGGCUCGGCACGGCCCACAUUACACCCCUAAGCGUGCGAGAGAGUGGAGAGAUGGUGGGAGUAGUUAAGAACCGUGAGAGAGAAAAAACGAAUUUUUCCGAUAAAAGAAUUCUAAAAAUCUUCUUUUUUAAGAAAAUAAACUUCACGAAAAUAAAUUUAAUUACCACAUCUUUCUUUCUUCUUCUCUCCCCCUUUUCUUCUUUCAAAACCCUAUUCCACGCACUCUCUAUCUAGUAUUAACCGCUCCUAUAUAUACUGAAUUAAAAAAGCUUUUGCAGGGAAGCAGAACCUUCUUAUUUUCUACAUUUGUUCGCACCCCACCAUCUCUACGACUCUAGAACUUACAUAAAUAAUCACACUAUUAUCUACAUUCUAGUCCAAUGAAAGGCAAACAAAAGAAAAAUCAAGCACAUGGAUGUGCAUAGAGGGCUCAAGUUCAAGCGCCCAUCGUAUACCUUGUAUAGAUAACUUGUUAUAGAUAGCUUGUUGGCAAAGUAAAUUAUAAUUGUGAGAAGACUUAUAAAAAUUAUUGUAAAAUAAUAAAUAUUUAAUAAAUAUUUAUUAUCAUUAAAUAUUUAUUAUUAAUAAUGAUAAUAAAAAUACUUAUUAAAUAUUUAUUAAUAAUAAAUAUUAAUAAUAAAUAUUUAAUGAUAAUAAAUAUUUAUUAUUUCACAAUAGUUUUUAUAAAUUUUAAAUUUUUUAAUAAAAAUACCAAUUUAAUUUUAUUGAUAAUAUUUUUAAAUAUUUUAUAUUUUUAAAAAAUUAAAAAUGACAACUUUAAGUGGCUAGAUUUUUUUAAUUUUUUAAAUCAAUUUAAAAUAGUAAAAAAAAAAAAGGACGUUAUCAAACCGAUUGAUGAUUUUAUUAACUUUAAUAAUGUUAAUUAUUUUUUAAUAUAACUUACAUGAUGAAUUAAUCUAGUAAAGUCUUUAACCUAACUAAAUAUUUUAAAAAAAUAUAUAAAGAGAAAAGUUAGAAGUUGAUUACUAAUUCAAACGAAAAAGUUGAGAGAUCGAUUUGGGAAUGAUCUAUAGUUGAGGGGUCUCCAUACAUUUUUUUUUCACAAAAAUAUUUUUUAUUUUUUUGAAGGGUUGACUAUAAUAUGAGAAAUGCUUUAUUACAACCUAACCCUACAAUUUUUGCCAUUGGAAGAUCAACUUGCUUCUACAUAAUUGUCAUUUUUUUUUCUUAUUUUUAGAUUUUUUUAAAAAAAAUCCAUCUUAAGCCUCCCUAGUCCCUAGUCCCUCCUCCUUAUAGGGGUUCAAUUACCCCUAGUCCCUACUUAUUAUAGCUAGGAAUUAUAGCUUGUAUGUAUAGCCUGUAUAGAUGGGUACAUAAAACUGCUCAAAAAAAAUUAAAAAACGAAAAAUAUGUUUCACUGAAAUAUUCUAUAAUUUAAGCUGAUCUCCUAUUCUCCCUUCUCGAUCCCCAACCCUCUCCUCCCCAACCCUCUCCUCUCAAAAAUUCUCAUUUCUCCCCAACCCUCUCAUCCCAAAUAAUCCAUUCAACACUGCUAGUCCUCGUCCUCGGCGGUGACGACUGCUAGCUCUUUCCCCACCGCCGGUUGCCGCGCUCCUCCCGUUACCAGGGCGUGCCUGCUGAGGCUAAAGCACUGCCACUUCUGCUCCGGCGCCCCCGUACUGCUCAGGUACGCCGCCUCCCUGUCUCUUCCCUACCCCACUGGGCCUAACUCAAACCGGCACCUCCCCCCCGAUAGCGGGCCAACCUCCCCCUCGGCUCCCCUGGAACCCGCGCCCCCCUCCCCCUCCGCCCCCUAUGGAACCCGCACACGCCCCACUUCCUUCCGCCCCUGUCACAACCUUCAUUUUUCGUACAUGCAUGUCUUCUUUACACAUCAGAACUACAUUAUCUGUGCCAGCCAACAUCAAAGCAUACGAAACCCUAAUUUAAUACGUGCCACCACAUAUCAAUGCAAACAAAACACUAUUAUCAAAGCAAAACUAAACCCUUAAUAGGAGACGAGUGCGAUGGCAAACAAAGAGAUAAUUAAAGAUCAAUUGUCCUUGGUUUCGUACAUACCCCAAAGACAAACCUUAUCAUGAUGAGUCUAAUCACACCAAGCAUGUGCUCAACUUAUUAAUUUGAGCAACAUCUUUUAUUGGUAAUUAUAAUAUAAAAAAAUUCUUUUAUCUUAAAGUAAAUAAGAAGGUAUAAUGGAGAAUUUGAGAACCUCUACCCUACUUUCUUUUUUUUUUUUUGGGAGUGGCCACACAUGAGAGGACUCGCCGCUCCCUUCCCCUCCCGCGCCCCCCGGGGGACUUGAAACGCCUCUCUCCCCUGGCACCACUGUCCCCACGGAAUUGCCGCUAUCCUCCCUCUGGCCCACAUACUGAACCGCGCCCCCUCUGGAACAGCGCCUCUCCCCCCUCCGCCCCCUACCCCCGAUCGCAUCCCCCUCUCCCUCAGAGAAAUCUGAAACAUCAGAUAGAGAGAAAUAUGAAGAUUUAACCCUUAUAUCUUAUAUACAUAACUAUUUUAAAUUCUAGAUUAUCAUAUAAUUUUAGGAGAUGUACAGUUAUUUAUAUGAUAUGGAAAUAGCACGUAGAUACAUAAUUUCAAGCUUUUCAGAUCCUCUCCAUUAAUGCAACAACCAUUUAAAAAUAUUUUUGAGAUUUGAAGGGGGUUAAAUAUAGAUUUUUUGAAAGUCUGGAAAGAAAAAUAAAAAAUGAAAAGUAGGUAUUUGUGUAAAAUUCUUUAAUUUUAAAUUUUUGUAAUUAACUUUUUUUUCUCCUAACUCCUCAAUCUAAUCAAACCUAUCAAAAAAUAUAUAUAUAUUUUAAAAUGUUAGAGAAUAAUUAUGCUCUGUAUUUUUUAAGGUGGCAGUGGAGUAUCCGUACACGACCGGACUUGCAUGCUUUGGGGUGGUAGCAUUUACCCUUGCGAUUUCAUUGGUCUCGCCCCAAUUCCUGAGAACGACGGAUAACGGAGCAUGCACGGCAGGACCAGCCUAUUAUAGAUACAUGUAUCUUGCCGCAUUGGUUGCAGUGGCUACUUGUGUGAUGUUGAUUGCGACCACAGUCACCAUCAAGAUCGAAGUCCGAUCCCAUCAGCAUAUACAGAACCAUCCGAGAAGGCUCCUCCUUCGCUUUCUAGCUGUAUAUGCUAUUGUCCUUUACAGUAUUUGUAUUCUAUCUUAUAUUAUAUCUAUUAUUUUACUUUUACAUAUUAAGACAGGAAAGCUGGUUUGUUUUAGUGUGAUAGAGAUGUUAUUCUACUUUUUAGGUUUCUCUAUUUUGUUUGUAGUGUUAGCUGGACAUGUCGUUUAUUGGAUAUAUGUUGUAUGUUAUUGUAUUAGAUACCACUUAUUGUAAAUCAAUUAUAUAUACUAUGAAGAUUGAUCAGUCUAAAUAUUUAAUGUUGCUUGUCGAAAAAUUUUUGGGCCAUUUGUUUGCAAUUUGAUAUUUGAAUUAAUCAAUCUCUUAUAUCCCUGCAAUAAUUCACAUUUUAAUCCACUUCUAAUGAAUAUACAUCAUAAUUUUGCAAAUAUUAAAUAUUUUGGUAAAAAUAUUUUAUCUUUGGUAGAAAAAGAGACAAAGAAGAACUACUGUUUAAAUAAAAUUUCUCACUCAAAAACUUACUAACUUUUCAUUAAAAAUUCCCAGUAGCUUCUCACAGUGGACGUGACCAUUAUCACACUGCUAGCCACUGCAAAGAAUGUUGUAAGAUACAUGUAUCAGUAAUAGGUUGGUCCUGCCGCACAUGCUCAAUCACCGAUUUUUUUUAGGAGCCGGGGUGAGAGGAAUUAAAUCCCAAGACUAAAGUCUGCUACUUUUAAGAAUGCAAGUCCGAUCGAACGUAAACACUCUGCCAUCGCCUUAAAGCUUCCUCUAUUUUAUCUCCUGUUAAAAAAGAGCAUAAUUAUUCUCUAAGGUAUCAUUUGGUUCGGAAAUAAAGCUUCCCUAGUACCAAACUUAUUAAAAUAAGUAGGAACCUAGGAAUAAGGCCUUAUUAGCCCUCUCCGACCUCAAGGGUCCACUUGCUCUGAAGCGAGCCCGGUUGGUGCUUAUUUUUUUUUACUAAAAAAAGCUGUUAAUUUUUUUUUGAAAAAAAAAACUACAAGACACAAGAAAAGAAGUCUUUUCGUCAAAAUGACCAUAAUGCCCUCCCUAACAUUCAAAUCUUUUACUAUUAGAGAGAGCAUUUUUGUCCAAAAAUUAAAAAUUUAAAAAUUUUAUAUUUUAAAAAAAGUUUUAAAAUUUCUUUUAUAUUUAUAAAUACUUCAACAAAUCUUUAAACUCAUCACAACAAGCGAAUCUUCCAUUCUUUUUCUUCGACCGAUACUAACUCUUUAUAGUUGUCUUGCAUUAUAUCUGUUGUUUUACUUUUAUAUAUUAAGAUGGAAAAAAUUAAUUUGUUUUAGUAUGAUAGAGAUGUUAAUUUAUUUACUAAGUUUCUCUGUUUGGACAUGUCAUUAUUGGAUAUCUGUAGUAUGUUGAUCUUGCAGCGCAAGCUCCAUCACCGAUCUUUCUCAGGAGCUGGGGUGAGAGGAAUGAAACCCCAAGGCUGAAGACUGUCACCCCUAAUAAUGAAGUCCAAUCGAGUGCAAAUACUUUACCAUCAUCUUAAAGCUUUCCAUAUUUUAUCUCCUAUUAAAAAAAAGCAUAAUUAUUCUCUAACGUAUCAUUUGGUUCGAAAAUAAAGAUAUGUUAGGCUAUUUCUUGGAUAAGCAAACUCUUAUUAGAAUAAGAAGAAACCAAGAAGCAAGGCCCGGUUGGUACUUCUUAUUUUUAUUUUUUUUCUAAAAAAAGUUACUGAUUUUUUAUUCGAAAGAAAAAACUACAAGACGUUAGAAAAAGCCUCUUUUGGUCAAAAUAAUCAUAAUGCCCUCCCUAAUAUUCAAAUUUUUUACUAUUGAAUAUAGCAUUUUGGUCAAAAAAAAUGAAAAACUAAAAAUUUUAUAUUUUUUAAAAAGUUUUAAAAUUUUUCUACACUUAUAAAUACUUUAAAAAAAUCUUUAAACUCAUCACAACAAGCAAAUUCUUCAUUCUUUUUCUUCUGCUGAUACUAAUUCUUUAUAUAGUAUUUGUAUUGUGCCUUAUAUUAUAUUUGUUGUUUACUUUUAUAUAUCAAAAAGAUUUUUUUUUCGAAAAAAAAAUAAAGAACUAGAAAAAGUCUCUUUGGUCAAAAUAAUCAUAAUGCCUUUUCUAAUAUUCAAAUAUUUUACUAUUAGAGAGAAUUUUUGUCAGAAAAUUAAAAAUUAAAAAUUUUAUAUUUUUAAAAAAGUUUUAAAAUUUUUUUAUAUUUAUUAAUACUUCAACAAAUCUUUAAACUCAUCGCACAACAAGCAAAUUUUUCACUUUUUUAUUCUGCCGAUGCUAAUAUUUUAUAAUAUUUGUAUUGUAUCUUAUAUUAUAUCUAUUGUUUUACUUUUAUAUAUCAAGACGAAAAAACUGAUUUGUUUUAGUAUGAUUGAGAUAUUAUUUUAUUUACUAAGUUUUUCUGUUUUCUUUUCAGUAUUAGUUGGACAUGCCAUUAUUUGGUAUCUGUAGCAGGUUGAUAAUGCUGCACAUGCUCCAUCACCGAUCUUUCUCAGGAGCUGGAGUGAGAGGAAUGAAAUCCCAAGACUGAAGACUGCUAUCCCUAAGAAUACAAGUCUGAUAAUCCCAAGACUGAAGACUGCCAUCCCUGAUAAUACAAGUCCGAUUGAGUGCAAACACUCUACUAUUGCCUUAAAACUUUUCAUAUUUUAUCUCCUGUAAAAAAAAAGAGCAUAAUUAUUCUCUAACAUAUUGUUUAGUUCGGAAAUAAAGCUAUGUUAGGCUAUUGCUGGAAUAGGUAAAUUUUUAUUAAAAUAAGCAGGAAUCUAGGAGCCAGGCUUUAUUGGUCCUCUCCGAUCUCGAUGGUUCACCUGUUGUAAAGCGGGCCAGGUUGGUGCUUUCUAUUUUUUAUUUUUUUCUUAAAAAAAAUAUAUAUAUUGAUUUUUAUUUGGAAAAAAAACUACAAGACACUAGAAAAAGUCUUUUUUUGUUCAAAAUAACCAUAAUGCCCUCCGUAACAUUCAAAUCUUUUGCUAUAGCAAGAGCAUUUUGGUCGAAAAUUAGAAAUUAAAAAAUUUAUAUUUUAAAAAAACUUUUUAAUUUUUUUUACAAUUAUAAAUACUUUAAUAAAUCUUUAAACUCAUCACAACAAAAAUAUCUUUCAUUCUUUUUCUUCAACCGAUUCUAAUUUUUUAUAGUCUUUGUAUUGUGCCGUACAUUAUAUCUGUUGCUUUAAGCUUAUUUAUCAAAACGAUUUUUUUUUUGAACAAAAAACUACAAGAUAUUAGAAAAAGCCUCUUUUGGUCAAAAUGAUCGUAAUGCCAUCCUUAAUAUUCAAAUCUUUAAUUAUUAGAGAGAGCAUUUUUGUCAAAAAUUUAAAAUUUAAAAUUUUAUAUUUUUAAAAAAGUUUAAAAAUUUCUUUUACAUUUAUAAAUAAUUCAACAAAUCCUUAAACUCAUCAAAUCAAGCAAAUCUUUCAUUAUUUUUUUAUUAUCUAUGUUAACUCUUGUGUCUUAUAUCGUAUCUGUUGUUUUACUUUUAUAUAUCAAAAUGGAAAUACUGGUUUGUUUUAGUAUGAUAGAAAUGUUAUUUUAUUUACUAAAUUUCUCUGUUUAUUUUCAUUGUUAGUUGGACAUGUCAUUAUUAGGUAUCUUUAGUACGUUGGUCGUGCUGUGUUUGCUCCAUUAGCGAUUUUCUUGGGUGCUAUGGUGAGAGGAAUGAAAUCCCUAUGCUGAAGACUACUCAUCCUCGGUCACGCUGCUAUGGUGAGAGGAAUGAAAUCCCUAUGCUGAAGACGCUGCUAUGGUGAGGUCACGCUGCUAUGGUGAGAGGAAGACGCUGCUACUGGGACUCGACCGUGACACCUUUGGGGGCCAUAUUUGGUAGGCAUUUGGGUUGACGAAGUUAUGGAGUUGCGGAGUUGAGGCGUUCCGUCAGGUAGGAGUUGCUGUCAAGUCAACGGAGGCAAUUCCCUAGCAAUGGCCCAUGCCAUGACAUGAAAAUAGGUACUGCAUGCGGGGUUUGAAAACGUACCCCUCGGUGAGCACCUUUGUACCCCCGGGGUGCCAAAGGAGUAGAUGCCUCGUAAGGGUAUUAGAGGAGGGGUGGACACUUCGUAAGUGGCCCCGACUCCCCCGUCGACCCAUAGGACAUGGGUCGUCCCUUGGCUAGCGGAGUAGCCAAGCCUAGCGUUCCGUGUAGCCGGUUAAUGGACGGUUGAAGGGACACGGGCCUAGGGUAAUGUCGGAGACGAGAGAGGUCGACGACAUUACGGAGCGGGGAAUACCGGGAGGCUUCCUCCCUAGGAUCGCUUGCACUACCUUAUGCAGGCUUAGAUCUCUGUAGUGGAGCGUACGAGCGGAUGAGGGAUAGUCUAGCGACGGACGGUCCUCCGUAAAGGACAAGGCUCGCGAAGGCAAGUGUGCCGAGUUGGGAUUCGUAGGGCACGGCGCCCAUGAAGGCCAAGGAGGCGGGACUCAAUAGGAACGCUAAAGGGAGGCAUACCGAGGGAGAAUUCGUAAGGUGGGUGGCCUACGAGACUCGAGGGGCAGAACCCAAGGAGGCAAGCGGUAUCGAUAUCCGUAUAGUGAAUCUUGAGAGACUGGACCAAUAGUGUAAGCGGCCAGGCGUGGUCGAGCCAAGGAGGGGCGAGUGGCUAGCGAUGCGGAGCGAGUCCGGUUCGUUUGUAUGGGGCCUUAGGAGGCAAACCUAUGGGAUUCAAGGGCACGGAGCGCCGUGGCAAAGCGAGGGUCGUUGAGACGGUUGAGAAGCACAAUGUGGACUUGUUGGUUCCCUUGUCAGGAGCGAUGGGACACGAGGGCCGCACGGGUCGAAUGCGAAGCACGGAGGUGCGAAGCAUGGACGUGCGGGGUGUCACGCUGAGGUGCUGAUGUUGGGGGCAAACGAGCUUGUGGCGCACACUUGGGUGGCUUUUCGGAGGUAAGCCGUUGGACCGAGCGAGCAGGCCGCGUAGGCGGUAUGGCCAUGGGCGUCGUCAGUCGCAUGAGGCAAGACAUGAAGGAGUUAUGUUCGUGAGUGUCCUUCGUGGCAUGUGAUGUUGCGGAGCCCGGACCUUGACGCGGGUGGCAUGCAGGUCAAGUCGUGGGAGCGGGAUGCGUGGUGAGGUAGAACGCUCGGCUAGACUCAUAGUGGUACAAGUUGGGGGAGAACUUGUAAUGUCCUUGGGCUGGCGACGAAGGCAACAAGGUAUUCGGUGAUAAAGCACUCUCGAGGAGAGAUCGGUUGGCAAAAGGGAAUGCACCUAGCUUGGUGGCCAACCUCGAUAUUGGGGUUGCUCGUUGGGAACUCGUGGAGUUCGACGAGGUUCGAUUACAGGCGAAGGGUCGGACUGUAAGUCUCGCGGAGGAGCAAGCUUUGCAAAAUGCUUGGAUUGGUAUUCCGCUGUUAAGUCUGGGAGACUUGUCCGCGUAAGGGACUCGAGAAGGCUGGCUCGGGUGUGCGACACUUGAGCGCCGCGCGGGGAUUUUUGAGGCAAAAAAGCUAACCCCGUGACAAGUUGGUAUCAGAGCUAUGUUGAGCUCUUUUGGGAUGGAAGUUUGGCCGAAAGGUGCGACCUUGGCGGCGAGGUUGGAGUGAGCAGAGUCACUCUAACGGAAGGACUUGGAGCCGACAAUGCAUCAGGGCAAUACUUCGCUUGUAAGAGAUGCGGAGUUGAGUUGUGAUGGAUAUUGGUGCUACCCACGAAGUCUUUGCGACGAGUAAAGCCGGGUGGUUCAGAAUUGCACUACGCAUGGAUGAGAGUCAGAUAACAGCGAGGGAAGUGUCUGUUGGUGUGGACUCGUGGUGGGGUGAAAGCUAAGUUCAUGUCGAUACCCUGUGAAGAUUUCCAAGUCAUUCUCAGGAUGGAGAAAUGGUUAAGGCCUUAGUCGUGUGGCAGACGAUGGGGCAAUGAUUAUGAAGAAUCUGUUUGCGGUCCGUGGUUGGAGUUAUCGCGGAGUUGGAUAUUGCGAAUGCCCAAGGAACCUGAGUUGUGCAGAGGUGCUUACGACUCAGGGUGGGGGAGUACACAAGGUGGAGAUGUAUUCCCAAAUGUGAAUCCUGGACGAUUGUGCUUCUCGAAAGGAUAUAGAUUAGGCGGUGAAACACUGGGCGAAAGAGUUUACUUCGUGCAUGCUGAGUUUGAAGUCUGACGGGCAGUAGUCUUCGUUGGGAGCAGCUUCGACCAAAGUUGCAGGAAUACCAAAGGGCUACUCGAUGGACCAGUAUUUCUCUCUUGGUAAAGGAAGAUCGAUGGGGAGAUCGAUGACUCUUUGGAGUGUGCCCAUGAUAUGGAAAGAGAAGGCAUCCUUGUGCAAGAGUAAGGAUUGAGGUUGGAAUCUUAACUCGCGGAGUGAGGUGAUAGGGCUAGCUUCGAGCAGAACGGUGACAGUGUUGGUGACUCGAGGUAGCUCACAUGUAUCCAUUGGAUGGAUGACAUGGGUUCCGCUUGAGGGAAUAGUGAAGGUUGUGGCAGAGCCGAAGCUAGCAGAGCGGAAUGUGGGGCAUUGAGAAUGCCGAUGGGGUCUGAGUGCGCUUGGUGGGAGAGCGACUCAGAGUGGGGGAGCACGUUUGGUCAUUAAGUGUUCCCAUGUGCAUUGCCUCGGUGAAGGAGCUCGUCUAUGAUAGGAAGUGGGAUACAACACAUGUGGUAAAAGAGUUCGCUUCGUGGAGCUCAAGUUGGGAGUCUAGGCAGACGAAUCCAUGGUAGUAACAGCUAGGCGUUGGACUAGGUUGUGAAGGGGACCAAGGAUUGCGGGAGAGCUUAGCACUUCUCUUGGUGCGAGAAGGCCGGUGUGGAGAUCGGUUGCUCUUUACAAUGUGCCCACGAGUUGGACAGAUGAGGCAUCAUUAGUCGGGUUGAAGUGUGUGUGGAUUCACCCGAGAUCAUGGUGCUGGUUGGAGUAUGGACAGUUCGCAACUGCGGGAAGGGUCGAGGUAUCGAAGUUCUGUAAGGGCGGUGCGCCCAGGGUAGCGACAUUACCGUGACAGCCAGACUUGCAGUUCAGACUAAGCAGAGAGUGAACUGAAUUCCGUUCAGCAAUCAAUCAUGAGGGUGGUUUCCCUAGAGUUGGGAUAUGGCAAGUUGCGAGCGAAAAGAGACAAGGUGUUCGAUAGGCUCAAACUUGGUCAAACACUUUGAUUGCGAAUCGAAGUGGAGUUCUGCGAGAGCCUAACGAAGUAAGGCUUGAGUGGAUUUGUGGGACGAAAGCUAAAGGUGCCGUGCAUCAACAAGUAGUCGAAAUGCAAAGCAGUCAGGAGGCAUGACAAAGGUGCGUGGUGAAGUCAGUAGAGCAGGAAGUAGUUGAGGCCGGCUAGUCCCGACGAAAGACUUGAAAGCUUGAGGAGACCAUAGGGGAGCUCGACGUUGUGCGAUUGUGGAGGCAUUAGGGUGGCAAAAGUUGUUUGUGGAGAGGGCACGAGUAUGGCAUGAGUACCCACAAGAGUUGUACCGAUAAAAUUCAAUAAGACAAACUUUAAUGCAAUGGAAGCGGGAGUUCAAGUGGAGGAACUCGCCACAUAUGGGGACGGGAGUUCGAGUAGAGGAACUCGCCGUAUGUGCGAGCGGGAGUUCGAGUGGAGGGACUCGCCACAGAUGAGAUCGGGAGUCGAGUGGAAAGACUCGCCGUAUAAGACUGGGAACGUCGGAUCGAGGAUCUGUCGUAGGUGCCUAGGGAGAGGCAUGAAAUCUGAUGUUAUGGUAAGGGGCAAAGGCGAAGACGAGCAGCGUGCUGAUUCGCGUGGAGAACUCCAAGACGAGGGACGUUUGGAGUCUAACCCCUAAGUCCAAGGUCGAUGGAUGUAUGACCUUGAAUCCCAGAGAGGGGAAGUUUAGUCGGAGGACUAUUUCCUUGAGAAGGAGUUAUAAGGUUGGCUACUGGACUCGUGGAACUUUGGUUAAGUCAGGACGAAGUGGGCGUUGAGGCCGAGUAGCUCCGAUGGAGAGAACCAAGUUAAGGAAGAGUGCCAGUACAAUCUUGCAAUCCGAGGGAUUANCCUGAUGUUAUGGUGAGGGGCAAAGGCGAAGACGAGCAGCGUGCUGAUUCGCGUGGGGAACUCCAAGACGAGGGACGUUUGGAGUCUAACCCCUAAGUCCAAGGUCGAGGGAUAUAUGACCCUGAAUUCCAGAGGGGAAGUUUAGUUGGAGGACUAUUUCCUUGAGAAGGAGUUAUAAGGUUGGCUACUGGACUCGUGGAACUUUGGUUAAGUCAGGGCGAAGUGGGCGUUAAGGCCGAGUAGCUCCGAUGGAGAGAACCAAGUUAUGGAGGAGUGCCAGUACAAUCUUGCAAUCUGAGGGAUUAUGAGUUUUAAGUUCUGGUUUCGUGGAGGAGUUAGUGUGGUGCGAGCGAGGCACCAAGGCUGGGGAGCUCUAACUCAGGGAGGGACAGAACACGUAUAUGGAGUGGAUGGUCGAGGAGGACCAAUGGGCUUUUCAGAAGCAUUGUUGAGCAGACGAACUCAAGGGCAGGUCAGCGUGGCAUGCGAUGCCAAGGCCAUGGGUGGCUCUGGUCUGGAAGAGUAGUACUGCUGGCAAAAGAGUUUGAAGAAGUGGUGGAGCAUCGACGAGGACGUCGAUGAUUCAAGUGGGGGAGCCUGUCACGGGUCGAUCGCUGGGACUCGAUCGUGACACCUUUUUGGGCCAUAUUUGAUAGGCAUUUGGGUUGACGAAGUUAUAGAAUUGCGGAGUUGAGGCGUUCCGUCAGGUAGGAGUCGCUGUCAAGUCAACGGAGGCAAUUCCCUAGCAAUGGCCCGUGCCAUGACAUGGAAAUAGGUGCCGCAAGCGGGGUUUGAAAUCCCUAUGCUGAAGACGCUGCUAUGGUGAGGUCACGCUGCUAUGGUGAGAGGAACUAUGGUUCUCAGGUGGUAUGGUGAGAGAAAUGAAAUCCCUAUGCUGAAGACUACUCAUCCUCGGUCACCACCAUAACCGACGGCACCGCUGUAACGACCCAGCCCACUAGCAACAAUAACUCGUUGGGCCCAAUCACUGGCCCAAAAUGCUUAAGCCCAGUUAUUAUUACUAGUGUCUAAAUCUAUUAUAAACCUAAUGACAACCCCAUUUCUAUCCGAUGUGGGAUUAUUGGGGUGUCACAGACUCCCUCCGUUAAGGCCCUGACGUCCUCGUCAGUCCAAUCACACACACAGCCCAAGAUCACCAGGCGAUGUGAGACUCGUCUCGCUAGCCCGUCAUCCAGACCCUGGCUCAGCCGAGACUCGCCACACAUGUCCAGCUGGUGAACCGGCUCUAAUACCAAAUGUAACGACCCGACCCGCUAGCAACAAUAACUCGUUGGGCCCAAACCACCGGCCCAAAAUGCUUAAUCCCGGUUAAGAAUUUAACCCUAUUAUAUCUUAUAUAUAGGACUAUCUGGGGUCUCACAACCGCCUUCUCCAGUUCUUCGCUCCUCCUCAAUCUUUCAGGUAAUUUAAUUACUUUCUUUGAUAUCUGCAUCCUAUAAUGUCAAUACGUUAGGGACAUAUAUCCUACUGAUAUACGAACAUAACAUAAAAAAAUGGUAAAUAUACUAACAAAACUUAUUACAAGAUUGGAUCAUCGAUCUUACAAAUUGAUACAUGAGUCCUAAUUACUAUAACAUAAAAAGAAGAUGACUAAAGGGAUUAGAGUGCUACCAUUAUUUUGGUACACUGUUUACUAAAGCAAAGGCCAUGCCUAAAUGCUUUGAUAGGUUCAUCACUCCCAGAAUGUAAUAAAUCAUUCAUCGAUCUUUAAAAGGUUAGUAUUACUAAAUUAGUAUUAUAAUUUAAAAGUUAUUCUACAAAAACUAAAAAUGUAAAAAUAAUAUAUUUAAAUUGCUAAAUACCAAGCUAAAAGUCUGAUUUAUGUACAUUAUUUAUUUAUAUUUGAAUUAUGUCGAGCAAAACAUGAGCAAUUAAGUUAAUUUGGGUUACCUCUUGUUCAGCUUGUUUAUUUUUCAAGUUGAAAAUGUGAUCUUAUGAUAGCUUGUUUAUUAAACAAGCGAGAUGCAUCGGAAUCAAUUUUGGGCCGAACAUAAGCUAGUGUUGAGUUGCGAACUAUAUGUUGAAUUGAUAGCCUGGUUGAUCAGAACGCUUGAUACUUGGCUGUAGUAUCCACUGUGGAUGGUUGGUAAUAUACUACUGUUGUAAUGUAUACAUGUAGUAGAAGAAUCUGGUUUAAAACCUCUAAUUAAAUUUGCAUAAGAUUAACAUAUAUAAUUAUUAUUUUGUUCCACAUGUUUGCACACAUAUUCAUGCUAAUUUAGCUAUUUGUUCCAUAUAUUUGCCCACAUAUUGUUUACCAUUUGUUUGAUAGGCUACCUAAAUAUGAAAAUUAAUUAUUUGCUAUUUACUCCUUGUUAAUGUUAGUUUCGUUAGAUUCACAUUAAAUUUUAUAUUGUUCUGGUAUAAUUCAACAAUAAAAUUUCAAGUUUGAUAAUAUUUAAAAAAUAUUACAUGAUAUGUAUGGAAAUAAAAUGUGGUUGAUUUGAAGUUGAGUGAAAACAAUGAUCUCGUUCUUAAAAAAUAAUAUAUUGUAAGAAUUAGAGCAAAUGAAAUAGCAAAAACAAUAAAAGUUUGAUUGGAAAGUAAUCUUUAGGAGAUGGACGGUUAUUUUAUAUUAUUUUAUAUAAUAUCAAAAUAGCACAUACGGCGAUACAUAAUUAAUUUCAAGCUUUUCAUAUUCUUAUAUAGGUAGGAUAUGAAAAGUAUAUUUUUCUUUUUUAAAAUUUGCUAUUUUUUUCCUUACUCUUCAUUCAAAUUAAAAUUAUCAAAAUAUACAAUUUUAUAUAAGGUAAAUUGCAUUGUUACCUUCUGAACUUUUGGUGAAGUUUCACUUUACCCCUCGAACUUCUAAAAUGGACAUCUAACACCCUAAACUCUAAUAUUUCAUUCAUUUUACCCCUUCCGUCAGUUUUCCGUCAAGCUCCAUUAACCGAAAACUAACUGAACGUGUAAAACAAAUGAAAUAUUAGAGUUUAGAGUGUCAGAUAUCUAUUUUAGAAGUUUGGGGGGUUAAGUGAAACUCGCCAAAAGUUCAGGAGAUAGCAGUGCAAUUUACCCCAAAGGGACACUCUUGACUAUAAAUUAUUUUAUUAUAAUAUGUUACUUAUGAAUUGACUACUAAUUCUCAAGUUAGUGAUCAUGCUUGAUUUUGAAUAUAUAUAUAUAUAUAUAUAUAUUAUCCUAAAAUAAAUCAUACCGUAAUUUAUCCUAUAUUUUAUUGUAAUAAAAUAAAAGCAAAAGAAAUGAAUUAGAGUGGCUUAAAGAUAAAAAAUGAGCGAUACUAACUACCUACGAUGCUCAAACACUCUACUAUCCUGGUGUACUCGCUAAUAUAGUUGAUUUAUAAUAGGUGUCCUCACUCGGAUAUAGAGAUUUUAAUUCUCAGUUAAUUUUCUGUAGUACUCGUUUGUCCCUUUUAUCUUUAGAGGUAUUGUUCUAGAAAAUACACUUAUUUUCUAUGAAACUAUGCAAUGUAAUUUUAUUGUAGUCUAAAAUAAAAUUUGUCUUUCAUUUCAGCCAAUUAGAAAUUUUUAAUAUAAAAAUAUAAAAUAAUAAUUUAUAAUAAAUUAAAAUUUUAAAAAUUAAAUUAGUGAUGUUAGAUUAAGAUAUACUGAAUAUCAUCUCAUUCUUCAAAUAUCGGUAGCGGUCCAAUCCAUUUGCUUUUUUUUAAAAUUAUUUUGUAAUAUUUUUCUUCUUGGAACUCUCACUUUGAAAUUUUUAAAAAUAAAUUAGUGAUGUUAGAUUAAGAUAUGCUGAAUAUCAUCUCAUUCUUCAAAUAUUGGUCCAAUCUAUUUGCUUUUUUUUAUUUUUUAAUAUUGUUUUUCUUGGAACUCUCACUUGUCAAAGGGGUAAAUUGCACUGCUACCUCCUGAACUUUUGACGAGUUUCACUUAACCCCCCAACUUCUAAAAUAGACAUCUAACACCCUAAACUCUAAUAUUUCAUUUAUUUUACCCCUUCCGUCAGUUUCCAGUUAACGGAGCUUGACGGAAAACUGACGAAAGGGGUAAAAUGAAUGAAAUAGUAGAGUUUAAAGUGUUAGAUGUCCAUUUUAGGAGUUCGAGGGGUAAAGUAAAACUUUUUCAAAAGUUCAGGGGGUAACAAUGCAAUUUAUCCAUUUUAUAUAUUCUCUUGAAAAUAUUUUUAGAGAAUAAUUGUACUUUUUUUUCAUAGGAGAAAAAUAUGGCAACCUUCAAGAUGAUGGUGGAGAGGUUGUUCACGAUCGGUCUUGCAUUAUUAUGAGGGGUGACAGUCUUUGAUUUUGGAAUUUCAAUCCUCUUAGUUCAGUUCGUGUCACGCCCCGGGGCCGAUUUUAAAAGCCUUUUUAAAACAGAGUUGCGGAAAACGUGCCAUUUUUUUUUNGAGUGCUUUUGUAAUUAAAUUACACACAAAAACAUCGUCAACUGAGAGUUUAGCUACACUGUAAAAAUCUCAGUCCUUACAUCGUGAGAAAAGCUAGUGAUGGAGUAUGCACUACAGUAAAAACCCACUACACGUACAUGUAUCUUGCGGCAUUCUUUGUAGUUCCUAACAAUGUGUUGCUGAUUGCGACCACGAUGACCAUCAAGAUCAAAAUCACAUCCCAUAAACAUAUAAGGGACCAUCCAAGAAGGCUCCUCUUGCUCUUCAUAGCUGUAUUUGCUAUUAUCCUUUAUAGUAUUUGUGUUGUUUCUUUUAUUGUAUCUAUUAUUUUGCUUUUACAUAUCACGACGAAAAAACUGAUUUGUUUUGGUAUGAUAGAGAUAUUAGUUUAUUUAUCAGGUUUAUCUGUUGUUUUUUCAGUGUUAGCUAGACAUGCCAUUUAUUGGAUACGUCUAGCAUGUUAUUAUUAUUAGAUAUCAGUUAUUGUAAAUAAAUUAUAUAUACUAUGAAGAUGGAUCAGUUGAAGUAUUAAAUGUUGUUUGUGGAUAAAUAUUUGGGCCACUUAUUUGCAAUUUGGUACUUUGAAUGAAUCUAUUUCUUAUAUUCAUUCAAUGAUUUGAAUGUAAUACAUUUUCAAUGAAUAUGCAUUACAAUCCCUGCAAAUAUUAAAUAUUUUGGUAAAAAUAUUUAAAAGCCUAUCCAUCCAUCUACACAUCAUUUUCAGUUAUUCCUUCUUUUUUAAAUUAAAAGAGCAUCAUUCUUUCAUGUUUAAUUAAAAGAGCAUCUUGUAGUUUAAGGCAUAUAAUAGCUAAAAAAAAAUGAUGGUUUUCAAAAUUAUAUAUGGCGUAGUAGUUAUUCUAGAAAAGGAUGGUUUUCAAAAUUAUAUAUAGCGUAGUAGUUAUUACUAGAGUAUUGGAUUACAAAAAUAUUAUUUAAUAGAAUUUCAGUUAUAAAAAUAUUUUUUUUUCUAUAUUUACAAAUAGUUUGAGAAUAGCGUGUUUUCAUAAGGAUAAACUUUACGGGUGACAACUGAUAGUAUUUAAGUAGGUUAAAAAUAUUUUUCUCCAAAAAAAGUUGUUAAAAAUAGUAAUUCUACUUUAUUCUCAGAGAUAAAAAAUUUAGUUCAAUACUAGUUUCAAUCGUUUGUUAAGACAUACGAUAAAUUUUUGAAUAAUUCAUAAAUGAGAUAAGAAAAGAGACUAAAUAAUAACCCCACAUCGUCACUAGCAAAAUCCAAAGGAAAGCACUACAAGAGAAUUAAGUUAUAGCUUCAUAUUUUUGGAACACUUUUGUAUAAAUGUUCGUCCAAAAUUUUUUUAAAAAAAUAUACCUACUAAAGCCCAAAUAUAAGGCCCAGCCCACUUAAAAAUAUAUUAACCUGCUUGACCCAACCACCCAACCUAAUCAGCCCAAAGAAAAAACCGAUCUCUACCUCGUCUCCCCUCUCUCCGACCCCUAAAACCGUAGACGUAGAUCCCCUCGCUCUCCUCCUCCGCCGCCGCCGUCGCAGCCGAUGAGGGAGGGAUCCGGCGGCCAGAGUUCAGCUGUGAGGAUCGCACGGAAACCGUAAAGGUCUAUGAUCGUCAUGUAUCCCUCCGCCACAAGUCGCCGGAGGAGUGGGCGCCAAACGUCGAGGCGGCGGCGGGCAGGAGGAGUCCGGCGUCCGCCUCCUGGCUGUGCUCGCGGUGGCGCUGAAGGUGCAAAAGGAGGAGAUGAAGAAGAAGGUGAGAUCGAUCAGUGCUAGGGUUUCUUGUUCAUGAGGAUUUAGGGUUAAUCUCUUGUGAGAAUCCCUUUGUGCGUGAAUCGCUUUGCUUGGUAUCGUAUAAAUUAAGGCUUAUAGAUGAUCUUUGAUUAAGCUUUUGGAAUUGCUCUAGUGCUUGUUUAAUUUACACAGUCCUCUUUAAGCUCUUAGCCAUUGUUAUAAUGGCAUUACGUUGAGAACCUUGAUUGGGGAUUUGUUGAAAUUAACAGCCCUGUUAAAAAAAAGCGUUUAAAACAGUCAAAAUUUAAUAGAAUCACUCUUAAAUUUAACAGCUGUUUGUGAUGUCUUCUAGAAUAUGUAUUAGCGCGAUUCAUAACAAAAAGGGAACCUGGCAUUGCUCUAGUGAUGCAAGUUCAGAGGAAAGGUAAGCUUAUCAAGUACCAGUCAAUAGCUGUUUUAACUGUUAGUUGUCUGACAAUAUUUAGAGAUAAUAUAUCUGAGAAUUGACAAUUUUAUCAGUCGAUGUCUUACAGCAGCCUCUUGUUAUUAGGCAUGUUUUGAUCACUAUAUCUUUAUGUAUGAUACAUAGUCAUCAUAAUUUUAUUUCUCUCAUUCUUGUGCACUGUGGCUCAGUUUCUUGUGGACUGUUCAGGUUUUUCUAAUGUAUUGUGCAAUGAUUGAGCCAAAUAUAUCAAGUAUGAUCCGUUGUUUCUCAUUUAUACUUCUACUUUAUUACUUGACCUGGAAAAUAUUUUUAACAUUAAUCAUUCUAAGAAUUUAAUUCUAGCUAGAGUGAAUGGUAGUCAUAUCUUUUACUCUUUAUUCCUUGAUCUGUUUUUGUCACAACUGCACCCUAAUUAUAGUAAACAGAGGAAAUGUCAAAGCUAGAUGUUGGCAGUAUGUUUCAAUUUGCAUUGUAGCGUUUUGACUUCUGUUAAGUGUUAAAAUCUAUGAUUCAAAUUUAAAUGCUUUACAGAUGGGAAGUUAGUUCUUGUGCGAUGGACUCUCUGUACGAUCUAAACCUCAUAUCAAAAGUAGUUCCAAUGUUUUUGGACAACUCCAAGGUGUGGCACUAAAUACUGUCAACAAGUAUGAAACUAGAAAAGAGAGGGGUGGCUCACGUGGAAGGAGUCAGCAGAUUUGAUCUCAAAGAAAAUAGCAUGUACUCAAAUGUACUCCUAAUAAAUCACACUGCAAGUCCUCUGGCAUGGUAAAAUUUAUUGUUAUUAUUUCAUUAAUAACCUUUCAUUCUUUCUACUUGUCAGAUUUAAUAUCUAGGAUGCAUUUCUUUUGCUCGUAAAUAUCAAAAUCGAUGAAAUAUGGACAAAUUUGCUAGGUGAAUGUUUGUAACAUCAAGUGCUAGUCUUGAUCAUGAUAACCAUCCAGUUUUAUGGAGUGCAAGGAUAGAGCCAAUCACAGCUCUGUUUUGCUGCCACACUCCUUUGCCAACCAAAGCAGCUGAAAGAGUGCAAAAUGUGGCAGAUAAAGUAUGUCUUCUUCAGCUUUUUCUUUUUUUCCCCCUUUAAUUUCAUGCCUGUUGAAAGUGUGACUUUCUCUCUUGUCCUGGAAUAUAUGCGGAUUAUUCUUCCAGCUGUUGUCAGUUGUUUCUUGUUUUUGAUUUGGAACUUUUGAUUAUCCAGCUCUUCCAAUUUUCAUGAUAGACAGGAUGUACACUUCUGUCAUGAUAAAUAAGAUGUACUCCCAUCGGAUUUCUUCUAUAAUCCGCAUCUUUCAAAUGUCAAACAACCUCUUUACAUUUUAAGCCCUAUCAUCCAACUAGAGUUGUUGUUUCAAUUGCUUUCUUGAGUAGUCAAUGCUAGGUGAUCUUGGUCGAUUUUAAUAGGCACUUGAUUUGGGUGAUCUUGGUCUCUCUUUCCAUCUACCUUUCCAUGAGUAGGAAUCUUAUUUGUUUCCUAUCGAAUUGGCACACAAAAAAUGAGCUAAAUAAUUUAACUUGCUAUCAGCAUUAAGCUGUUCCUGAUCUCAUCUAUUUGAGGAAAAGAAGCUUGUAUUAGCACUUGAGCUACAUCCGUAUAAUCCGAAUAAUUAAUUAGAGUAACUUGCUCACAGUAUAAAACCUGUAACUUGCCUGUUAGUUCGUUCAACAUAGACAUGUAGUAUUGGUAAUAACAUGCAGCACAGUUACUCUUUUAGGCACUUGAUUUGGCAUAUAGGCCUAGAUUUUUAAACCCAUGUUGAUAACUAAGUCAAGUUGCGGGCCUUAGUUAAGCAACUCCUACACAGCUUACGAACUGACUGAAUUAGGCUUGUCUUAAAGUUAUGCGGUAUAAUUAAGAGGUUUGAGUGACCAUAACAUGCUUAGUGUUAUAGUUUAUAUUGUUUGCGUAUUUAUGCGUACAUGGUCAUGUUAUUCGUGCAAAAUGCUCUUUUUGUGUCUGGUUCGUAAAUAUUAAUGUUAACUUUCACCUACUGAAGCACGACAGAGUUCUACAAAUGGCCUUUCUUUUUUGAUGCAAUUACUUUGAUUUUCGUUCAUAUAUAUAUAUAUAUAUAUAUAACUAGGCUGGAAUACUAUUAAUAGCACCAAGCUAUUGGUGCUAUUAGUUUUUUAGCCACGGGAUUGAGAAAUUUGUGGUUAGGAUGAUGUGGGCCCCCUAGGGUUGAGUGGGUGGUUGGUUGAUAGUAUAAUGUAACGGGUAAAAAUAAUUAAAGGGUUAAAUCUAACGGUGAAAAACUCGAUAGCACCAAGCUCUUGGUGCUAUUGAUAGUAUCCAAGUCCCGACUCUAUAUAUAUAUAUAUAUAUAUAUAUAUACUAUACAUAUAUAUAUAUAAUAUAAUAUAUAUAAUAGCUAGGUUGGUAUACUAUCGGUAGCACGAAGGCCUCCGUGCUACCAAGUUAUUUUCAAUGAUACCGCUUCUAAAUCGACGAUCGGCUCUGUUAGACUUGAUCUACACUAUUGAAAGUAUUUGGAAACUAAAUUUCAUACUUUUUCGGUAUCAUUUACCUAUCAAACAAGUAGUCUAAAAAUGAACGGCUGAAAAUAAAAAUCUCAUAAAAAAUAAUGAUAGAAGACUUGAAUUUAAGAUCAGAGAUACUGAUCUUACUCUAAAUAGUAAAAAGAAUUUUCUAUAAAAAUUUUAUCAGAUUUGCAUUAUUUUACAUCGUUAAAUUUACAAAUGCAUCACAUCUACCAUUAAGUCAAUUUUGAGACCUUUUGAUUACUAGCCAAAUGAUGUCGAAAAAUUAUGAAAUUUAGUUUCCAAAUAUUUUUAAUAGUGUAGAUCAAGUCUAACACAGCCGAUUGUCGAUUUGGAAGCCGCAUCAUUGAAAACAACUUGGUUGCACGGAAGCCUUCAUGCUACCAAUAGUAUACCAGCCUAGCUCUAUAUAUAUAAUAUAUUAUAGAAUAUAUAUAUAGGAGUAGGACACUGUGCUAUUAGGAGCACAGCAGUCUUGUGCUCAAAGUUUAACGCACAGCAGCCCUUGCCCACUCUUUGUUUAUACUUAUGGUUAUCCUUUUAAAUUCUUUUUAAGAAAUUUCUUCUUCUUUUUUUACCCUGUAUUUUUCUACAUUUUUCAUUCUUUUUACUCUACUAUCUCCUACUCCCUUGUUUUUCUUCUAUAUAUAUAUAUUAUAUGAUAUAUAUUAUAUGUAUAUGUAUAUAUAUAUAUGUAUAUGUAUAUAUAUAUAUGUGUAUAUAUAUAUAUAUAUAUAUAUAUUAUAUAUGUAUAUGUAUAUAUAUAUAUGUAUAUAUAUAUAUGUAUAUGAUAUAUAUAUAUAUGUAUAUGUAUAUAUAUGUAUAUAUAUAUAUAUAUAAUAUGUAUAUAUAUAUAUAUAUAUAUAUAUAUAUAUUAAGUCGCGCUAGGUAUGCUUAUGGAAGUACGGAGCCUCCGUGCUUCCACUUUGUUUUCGAUGUUCGGACUUUCGAAUCGACGAUCGGCUCCGUUAGACUUUAUCUAGAAUAUUUGAAGUAUCUAGAAAAUAAAUUUGCGAUUUUUCGAUAUCGUGCUAUGCAUCGAUGUGUCGCUAAAAUUCAACGGCUGAAAAUAAAAAUCUUACAAAAUAUGAUGAUAUGACAUUAAAAUUUUAGAUCAAAGUUAUUGAUCUUGUUUUAUAUGGUAUAAAGAAGUUUCUAUCAAAAUUUCAUGUGAUUUGGAUAUUUCUACACCGUUAAACUUGCAACCGGCUCACCACGGCCGUUAAAAUUAUUGAUUUUGAGCCCCUUCGAUCACUAGGCAAAUGAUAUCGAAAAAUCGCAAAAUUUAUUUUCUAGGUACUUCAAAUACUCUAGAUCAACUCUAACGGAGCCGAUCGUCGAUUCGAAAGUCCGAACAUUGAAAACAAUUUGGAAGCACGGAGGCCUCCGUGCUUCCAUAAGCAGACCAGCACAACUCUAUAUAUAUAUAUAUAUAUAUAUACCAAAAUGCAUAUGUUUCUAUAUGUAUAAAGAGAAACAAAGAAGGUACCAGGAUUGUUUCCAUAUGUAUAUGUUAGGAGGUGAACUCCUAUCUGACCCUCUACUAUGUAUUUGAUAUUGUACUUUCUUCAUCACUACCGUGUGAACUUAAGGUUGCUAUCUUAUGGGUUUUUCUAUGAUAUUCUUUUGUUUUCUUUAUUGUACUAUUCUUCCUUUCAUUCUCUUCAAUUCUUUUUUUACUAUAUAUGUGGCGAAAUACUGGUGGUGUAUAUAUUCUUUACCUAUUCUAUAACUGUUCAAAGUCAAGAUGAUAGGAGUAAACAAAAAGAUCCAAAAUGUAUAGUUUGCUACUCUGCUUUUACUUCUCUCCUAUUUUUUUCAUAUUCUUAAGCUGACUUUCUCCAAAAAAUAAUGAUCUAUUAGGCAUAUCUCUCCUCUUACUUGCCUUUUCUCCUAAGCUUUUCCUGUAUCCUUUACACACAAUUAUGUAUAUUUUUUAUUAUAUUUGGGAGGGCAAAAUGUGGAGAGGAGGAGGCGAAGCAAUGGAAUCACGGGCGAUCGACACGUAUCCGAUACCAAAGUCUCGAUUCAUGUCUUGCUAUUUUAUCGAUUGAUUAUUGAUUUGCUCAUUCUUUAGACACUGUUUGCCUUAGUUUUUUAAAUUACAGCUUCUUUGAAUUUCUCUAUUCGUGAUGACUACGGACUGAUUGUUUCUCACCCUGUUUGGUGUUUAGGAUUUGGUCUGUAUACAAUGCUGAAAUUACUGCUUUCUACUCCGCAUUUUCUAAGAUGAUGGCAAGAGAGGUUUAAACAAAAAGCUUGCUGCUACGGGAAUACUACUAUAUUUUCCUACCUUUGUUGUUGCCAGGUCUUGCCUUUUCAUUUGCACACUUUGUCUUCCUGCCCUUAUCAAUUCUUUUCCUACUCUCUUUGCAACUACACAGACGAUGAUGGGAAUAGCAAUAAAAAUGAUAAAAAAAACAUAGUACUUUCAUUCCAGUUUCAACUGUAGAUUAUUCUAUACUUUGGUUUGUUGACAAAUAUUUAACGGACAGGCCAAUGCAAAAACACAAGCAUGUAUGCUGUCAUUUCUUCUUUUUUUUUUCUGUACUGUUUCUUUCGCCGCCUUACUUGACUGUUUCUUUUGCUGCCUUACUUGAUGGAGAUGCAUGGUGGAAAAACAUCAUUGCUCCCUUCCUUUUGCCUUAUUUGCUUAUGAACUGAUAAGAAUAUUUGCCUAGCACUCUCCGUGGCGACAAAAAUAUGUGAUGGUGAUCACCUACCUGAGUCUCUGAGCUCCUAUCUAGCUCUGCAUUGUUUUAUGGGUUUGUGAGUGAAUCUCUGAUGUAGACGACUAUAUAUCGUGGUGAAAGGGAAGCCAAGGGGUUGGCGGUGCAAAAUAAAAGCACAUAUGCUAUUUAAAACUUCCAACCGAUGUUUUCUUAUACAUUAUUAUUUCGGCGGCUUUCUUCUGUUCCUCUAGCGGUGCUUUUUGUUUUUUUUUUUUAUAUAACAUCUCUUUAUAUUGAUUCUUCCUGAAUUUCAUUCUUGCUACUCUAUUUGCUAUGAAUAGAGUAUACAUUGGAUUUUUUCUAAUUUGGUUGCAUGUGAGGUUUGUUUGGAACUUCACAAUGAAACUUUAUAUGGCAAAAGACUAUUCGUGCCUUUUAUUGAAUUUCGUCGAUUUUGGGGGUGUUGCUGCUGCAAUGUUUUACAGAGUUUAUCUUUCGGUGUCGCUUUUCCCUUCUCUUUUUUAUCAUGUCUUCUCCUGUUAUUUUUACCUACUUUCUGUCUCUUGCUAACUAUAUUGUACUCAGAUAAAUACAAAUCCUGUUGGUAUUUGCGUUGGCAAUUCUAUUAAUUUUAACACUUUUGACGGUUGGAUUUAAUUGUAAUGAAAUCUAGAGACUAGGGACUUGGUUGCAAAAAAAAGUCAGUAAUCAAAUUUGAAAAAUAGUGCAAAGGUUGAGGACCAAUGUUGUAAUUAACCCUACUACUAUAUGCUAACUAGAAUAGUCGACAAUAGAAUAUAAGUAAUUUCUACCGAUGGUACUAUGAUAUACCAUGCGGGUUAUUAAAAAAAAGAACAAUUGUGUAGUUUGUGAAUCAUUUUGUGGGGGCAAUUUUACAAAAAGAAUAAGUAAUAUAUAUAGGAAUCACAGUUCAUUUCUUUUCUUUUUUUUUUACCCGGUUUUCUUUGUUCGUCUCUCUGCUCAUUAUGAAUGUAACGUUUUUUUUUCUAUUGUUUGCAUUUGAGCUUAGCUUAGAAUUGAAUGAUUAAAUUAUGCAUGCAGCAAGUUGUUGUGCAAAUAAAAGUCAGAUAAUAUCCCAAAUUUAUUGGUGCAUAAUAAUAAGAGUAGUGAUGUCAACGGAUCGGGUUUGGAUCGGAUUUUCAAAAAUCCGAACCCAAACCUGAAAACCAAAUUAAAACCCGAACAUAGACCCGAACAUUGCGAGUUUUAAAAAUUCAUACCUAUAUCCGUAUCCCACCAAAAAUUCGAAAUCCGAACCCGAACCCAAACUCUGCAGGUUUUAAAAAUCCAUACCGUUGGAUGAAAGGGAUAAAAAAUUACUAAAUAUUUAUAUUAUAUAUAUGAAUAAAAAUAAAUUAUGUAUAUAUAUAAUUUAUUUGGGUCGAGUUCGGGUUCGGGUCGGGUAAAUACAAAAUCCAUACCCGUAUCCAUUUCCGUCGGAUUUAAUUUUCUAUACUUAUAACCGAAUUCAUACCCGUUUAGCUCGGGUAAAUCCGCCCCGUUCGGGUUCGGGUUCGGAUAAUAUUUGGGGCAUCCAUACCCAUUGACAUCCCUAAAUAAGAGAACCCAUAAGGUUUAUGAGGGUUGUAAACAAUUAGAAUGUGAAAUUAUUUCUGUUUACUGAAAUAGUAACAAAUCUACCCAUUUUGAUUGAUAAUAAGGAAGUAGUUUAGUUGAUUACAUGGUAAUUUCUUAGUAGGUGUUUGCAGUGGAUAACAUCUCAGUAUAUCAAACUUGCGAGAUCUAUCAUCAUAUUCUUUUGUUGGGAUUAAAUGGACAUAACGACAGUGCAUAGAGAAAUUAGAAAGAAACGGAAGAUUAUUCUCGAUCACCGAAUAAUAGGCAGGAACUCCUAAUUACCGAGCACAUAAAUAGUGGUGUUCAUGAAGUACCCUGUAACUACAAUAGCGAUUACAGUGGAACAGCUAGCAGAGGUGGUUAUUUUAUAGUAUCUAGGGUGCCAACAGAAAUAAAUGGAGCAGGCACUUCUCGGGUUGCAACUCAACGUGUUGAGCAAUUUUAUUUAGGAUUACCGAAAUAUCACCUCCGCCAACGUAAUUGCGCCGCUGCUGCUGAGGGUGCGAUAGAGGUGAGGGCGACGGCAGUGUGAUUGUUGUGGCGGAGGGCGCAGCAGAGCCACCACACGAGGGACGAGGAGGUUUGGUUUGACGAGGAAUGGGGGAGGGUGAUGGAGUGGGGAAAUUAGGGGUUCGAGGGUGACAUGUCGUCUCCAACACGGUAAGUUCUUAGAUACUCUUGCUCUAAUAUCAUACAGCUAAUUACUCUAAAAAUAUUUAGCUAUUAGAUAAUGAUACUUUACUCUUCAAGCAUGAUUCAUGAAUAUCAGAUGCGACGAAUAAAUUCUCACCAGAGUAAUCUUCUAGCCUUACAUUGUUACUUUUGAUUAGAUAAAUUCUCACCGGUUUUGUAAGUUGAGAAUUAACUCAUCCAACAUAGGUUAACGCUUCAAAUCUUCAAUGUUUGAGUUGCAUAGAGCUCUAUAUAUCAAUCCCUUUGUCUUUUGUAGUUGGAAUCUGCAGAGUGCUUACAUUGAUGGUUGUCCUUAUUCAUCUCAUUGUUUUUCCAUCAACUUUUUUUUUUUUUUGGGUGUCAUCCAUCUUUAGUUCUAAAUUACGUAGGUUUCAUAUUUUAAAUCUUGCUAAUCAUUGUUUUACUACUUUGCAACAUACUUUUUUCUGUAUAAACCCUUUUUGUCUUUCCUUUGAUAUGAAUAUUUCAGUUAUAAUAUAAUUGUAUUUUGUUUGUCAUAUGCUUAUCUUUGUUGGUUGAUUGCUAUGUUUAAGACUAUUAAGUUAUUCAUUUGAAUUCAUGCAUGCCAUUGUAAUUUUUUCUCUUUCUUCAUCUGACAAAUUCAUAAUAGUUUGAGUAAUGCAUUUUGGUAAGCAUUAAUUUCAGUGAUAAUGCCAUGACUUGCUACCGCUCUAUAGGGUACAACUCAAGUAAAUAUUCUUCAAUGUUCUUACUGAGGAUUGAGACACAGUUUGUUGACUUAAACUAACAGAAGGAACUAUUGCUGAAUUCCUCCCUCCAAUGUUCUGCUGCCUUUUUGGUUGGUAAUUGUUGUCACUGUUUGUUUCCUGUUUAGCUCGAAGUUGACUGUUUAAAAGGAUAGGUUUAUGCACUUUGGAAAUGAUCAUGUAUUAGGCUUCCACAAUGACUAGGCUUCAGCAAUUAAUUCAAGUUGUUGUCUCGUCGUGGUGUUGUUUUGUGAAAAUUGGGUGCUUAUAUGUGAGUAAAUGGCGUAGAUUAAAAUUUAAAUUUCUUCAACUGUUUGCGUGCACCAAUAGCUGAAAUCUGAAACUUCUACUAUUGCUUCUGCUAUUACUUUUUUUUUUAGCUCUUUAUUAUUGCGAUUAUUUUUCUUAAUCUGCGCCAAAUAAACAAAAUUAGUAUUGUUAUCCAUACUUUUUCCUUUUUUCCUAAAUAGAUUGGGUUGGCUAUCUAAACUGAUUUUUUUAUUUUACUUAAAAUAUUUUUAUAAAAAAAUAUAAUUUCAUUUCAUUCUUUAAUUUAUCUUUAAUUUUUAAUUAUUCAAUAUAAAGAUAAAUAAUAUUUAAAAAUAUUAAUGUAUAAUAAAAAAAAUAAUAAUAUUAAUAAUUUUAAUAAUUUACUGUUAUACUGGCUUUUCGCCGCAUCGCGCGGGGCCGUGCGCCCCUUAACUAGUAAACUAAUAAAAGGCUAUAAUAUGGAUAAUUUAUUCCUUCGCACUUUUAUGUGCAGUGGUUCUCUUUCUAAACGACUUUAUUUGAGGUACGAGUUGGCGUUUGCCUUGGUAGGCAUCAGAUUCCACCAUUUCCAGUUUUUACUAAUGUGUGUACAAAAUAAUAUAUACACGUACAGUACUCUUUUCUAUUGAAACCGCGUAGCAAUUCUUGAACCACACAAUUUAAAUCGUGAUGUGGACACAAUCCGGUAGUGAAAAUAGUAAAAAGUUUUGUCCGAAUACAUGAGCAUCUUAUUUAAUAUAUUCUUUUGAUUUAUCUAAAAAGUAUAUAAUAUUUACUGGAUAAGGUGUGAAACCAAAUGUCUAGACUAAAAUAUCAUAUUCGAUCAUUAAGUCAUUUUUUAAAUAACAUAAAUUAUUUUAUUAAUAAAAUAUAUUUUUCUAUCAAAUAAUAAAUUCAUAAGAAAGUUUUCAAUCCAAAUAAAUUAUUUUGGCAUUCAAAAAAGGCCUUCGAUAACAUUUAUAUUAAAGCCUUUAAUUAGGUCAGUCAAAAAUUACUUGUCAAGUCUUAUAUAUAAAAAACUUAGACAUUUAUUUGUAUACAUGCACACAUAAAUAUGUAAAUACAUAUGUACAUAUCUGUAAUAAUUUUUAUUUGCAUCCAACAGUAAAACGAAGGUAAACAUGUUUAUAAAUGUCGGACUAUGAAUUAUUUUGAUUCUACUGUCUAAUUUUUAAAAUUUCAAUAUUAUUACUUAACUUUUUAUUUAUUUGAUUUGAGCUAGUUGAUAACACUUUUAUCUUAACAUUUGCAUGCCUUAUUUAUCUUUAUUUGCUUGAUUAGCACAUUUUAAUUAUAUAAUUUAUGUGACUAUAAUUUUAUUAAAACAAGUUAUAAACCAAAAUUUUUUAUUGGAAGAACCAUUUAAAUGAAACAAAUUAAAAAGUUAUUAUCAAGAUUUAAAUUUUAAAAGAUUGAAUACUCUUGAUCAAAAUUUACAUGUUUACUUGAAAUAAAAUAUAUUCAUGAACAUUAGUAAUGUCAUAUAUAAUCGUGUCCUCCGUGAUCAAGCCAUUUUUUGAGUUUCGAACAACUCAAUUGAUCGAGUUAACCUAGUUUGACCGAGUUUGACUUCAAAUCUAGGGCAACCGUACGUGUGCCCUUAUCAAAUUUGGUUGAAAUCUAUGCCGAUUUCACGUCGACUCUUAAUGGUCAAAUCGAAAGUGGGAGAGAAACCGCGUAGUAAGCCUAAAAUUGAUAUUAAAUGAUAAUAAUAAUAAAUUCUCAGCUCAUGAUAAAUCACCUUUUAAAGCCAAUAUAUUUGCAAGAAAUCCAUAUUUAUUAAAGUUUCAACCCUAAAGUAACAUCUAUAAAUCUAGCUAGCAAACUCUUUAUUAAUUACAUACUUUUACCACAUAUGUAUUUUCCAAAGUCCACGUACUUCUCAAACAUAUAUAUGUAGCGUAGGAGUAGAAAAUAAGCAUAUUUCACCAUCUCAAUCACUGUGAUAAGGGAAAAGACGUAGAAAAAAGUUUGAGCAUCCGUUUGGUUCGGAAUUAAGGAGUGGAAUAACUUCUUAACCCCGAAAUUAUUUCCAAACACCCAAUUUGGAGGGUGGGGUUAGCUAACCCCACCACAAAUGGGCUAUCUUGGGAUAGCGUAUUUAGGGUGGGGUAGCUAACCCCACUCCACCUCACUACUCCAACCAAACAAAAUAUUAUUUUAUCCACUAUCCUUCUUAUCUCAUCUAUUCAAACUAAACAUUAUUUUACCUAUACCUGGAUUAAACUCAAUUCUCAACCAAACAUAAAAUUACUCUAACCCCUCAAUUCUGAACUUAACUCUAUAUCGGGAAUAACAAGUUUUUACUUAACCCCGAAACAAACGGUGGCUCAGAGUUUAUUCCAAUACCUUUUUUGCGCUUCCCUAUUGCCGGACAUAUAGCUGGUUUCUGCAGAUCUCUUUAAUAGGUACGAGCCCCUCUUCGUGGUUGCCCCUUCCUGGGUAUUGGGUUCGCUGGCGAUCCGAUGUCAUCAGCGCGUGGAAAUCGGUUGUCCGCGGCUUCUCUAAUUGGCUCGUUUGUUGAUGCACGCCUCUCGUGAUCUUGGUUGAUCCUUCCUCGGUUCGCCUGCGAUCCAACAACAUCGACGCUGGGACGAAGUCUAUGAUCUUGGUUCAUCCGUGAUGUGACGUCUGCAUCUUGACCUCCGUUCUUUGCGCUGUCGUCUUUCUUGUGAGCUUUCUUUAUCGGAGUAGAGGAGGGCAUGUAGUCUGCUGCUGUGCUGCUGAUGGGAUAAUCCGGAUCAGCUUUCGCCUCUUGUUUGACCUUUUCACUCUUUUUGUCAGCUUCUUCUCUUGCAGUAUCAAACUUUCCAGGUUCCUGAGGUGAGGGCUUAUUAUCACCUGCUGCGCCUGGUGUUUUCACUCCAUUCAUCGCCGAGCUCGGAGGUCCGUUCAUUGCCGGGCUUGGAAGUUGUCCCGAAGCUGGCGGCACUUGCACGGUGUGGCUGCUUGGCGGCUUGGCCUCCGGUUGGCUGGCAGGAGUUCCAUCAUCAGCGUCAUCACCCCCACAACAGAGGAACUUCAGACACAUACUAGUGUAAUACCUCUCUCUCUCUCUCUCUCUCUCUCUCUACCCAAGUUAAGGGAGUUUUGAGGUUAGUAUUAUGAUAUUAAAGCGUUUAAUUAUGGAUAAGAACGGGUGGCAUAUAUGCACCAUAAUGCUUUGCGUGGAAUCUAAUUCUGCGUUAGCUUCGUCUUAAAGCUGGUAAACCGCGUUGAAAGUCAGUCUCCCAUUAAUGAGAUGCCCUAAUGAUUGAGUCAUAAAGCCAAUGAUUAUUAUUUGAUUACAUAUUUACUCGGUUGGUAGGGCUGUCAAUAAGCUCAUGUUGGCUGUCAAUAAGCUAAACAUGAGCGAGCUGGCCAAACCUAGUACGAGCCAACUCAUUAAAAUAUCGAGUCAAAAAAUUUAAAUGUGUAUAAGCAGUCCGUGGAUUUGAACUCAUAAUCGUUCGUUAAUAAACGAGGUGAACGCGAGUUGACUCACAAAUAACAAGUUAAAAAAGAUUAGAAAAAAAAUAUAUAUAGAAAAUAAACUUCUGAAAUUUUAUCUAUUAAAUUUUGAUCAGACGGUUGAAAUUUUAUAUAUAAUGAAUCUUUUUAUAAUUGAGUUAGGCUUUAUAUCUAGGUUGGACUAAAAAUUAAAUAAUAAAAAUAUGUAUUAUAUAUAUAUAAUAAUUAAGUUAUAUAAAUAUAAAAUAUAUGUAUUUGUGUUGUUACCAACUCGAACACAAGCGAGCUAACUCUAGCUCGUGUUAGGCUCGUUUAUUAAACGAGCUGAAAAAUUCACCUCAUAUUCGGCUUGUUUACUACACGAACGAUUCAUUCUCAAACUCUUUUCGAACAGAACAUGACUUGGCUCGGGAAUAGCGAGCUGAAUUACUACCCCUAACGGUAGGGGUUGGGAAUAAUUAAGAGACAAAAAUUAGGCCGAUUUACCAAAUUAGCUAUUUGAGGAAAAAGUUUAUAAUGCACCUGUUAUGGUGCUGAUAUAGCAUUCUCAAUUAAUCAGAUUGUUUUUCUUAAUUAGUUCAUCCAUUCCAUGAUUAUUAGUAAAAUAUUUUUAUUAUAUUUUUCUCUAAAAAAUUGAUAUGGUAUAAUUAAUUACAUAGUAGACUUCCUCCUAUUUGAAAAUGUGGGAUCGACUUUGAGGUAGAAAUAUAGGGGCAAAUUGGGAAGGCAUUUGAAAUUUAUAUUUUUUAAAAAUUAUUAUCUAAUUCAAAAUAUUUUUUAGACUCAUUAACUCAAAAGUAACAACUUUUAUAAAAAUAAAAAAUAUAUAAUCUUAACUCAAAAUAUAUANNNNNNNNNNNNNNNNNNNNNNNNNCACUCGCCUCUGCCUGCUCAGGCAUCUCGGGAGAUCUAGCACGAUCCUGCGCCAACUGCGCACGCUCCCGCAACGACGGUCGGCCUCGGCGACGAUACAUAGCUGAAAAGAACAAAUCGGGGUCAGAUACAACAAAACACUCUCGACCCAAUCAAACGAAAGUCUAGAAGGCAGCCCCUGUUUCUCCUCGAAAUUAUGUCGUCUGCAGCCAACAUAAUUUCUCAGGCCAAAACAGAAACUCCUUCAGUCACUCACUCUACUCCAAGAGGAAUUAAAACAUAUAAUCAUUGACUUUCGCAAUAAAAUUACGCCUCUCACGUCUUGCUUCCCUAAGGUUUGCCAAACUUAGGUUUCCUAGGUCCCAACGACCUACAGCAAAGCUCUGAUACCAACUUAAUCUGUCACGCCCCGGACUACACGUUCCCCGGCCACGCCGACAAAUCCGCCGUAUACAAAGAAAUUUUCCCUGUAUACGAAGCGAUAGCUGUACCUGUAAAUCAAACACUACUACGAACAGUAGUAGAGAGCUGCUAGAGAAAAACUGAAGCUAAAUAAAACAGAGUUUCAUAUACAUAGUUCAGAUCCAAAAUACAGAGCUACUCGCACUGGCGAGUUAAGUCACUAUGUACAUAAUCUCGAAACCAAACCUCUACCUGCAGUAGGGCACCUCUAGCUCAGCACGUCGGGUAGGGCUCUAACUCGCGACGCCCUUGCCUCGAUCCUGGUCCGCAGUCGGUGCAGCAGCCGGAACCUGUGGCUCUGCAAAAACAUAGGUAACAACUGGGCGUGAGAACUACUGUAAAAACAAGUAGUUCUCAGUGGGUACCGCCCAAAACAACAUCGGUCACCUACUAAGUCUACAGAAGGGAGCAAGGAUAGAAGGAAAGCAGGAAGCAUACUCUACCACUAUCAUCCACUACACUAUCAUGCUCUACACUAACCAAUUGUAGGAAAUAUCAAAUCUGAUCCAAUCCAAUCGGGACUGCAAACAUACCCGUCCCCGGGACUGUGAAUACACCCGUCCCUGCCCCGUUGCGACUAUCCAGCUCAAUCCACACUAACUGGUCCGUGGAGAGCAAGUCCAACUGGCAUGAGCGACACCAACGCAAAAGCACAAGCCCAACUCCGGAGUGGCACUCGUGGGCGCUACCCAACCGAGUAUGCAGCGUAUCUCUGUCGAGCUCAAUCAGGCUCCAACUAGCCAAAGUCAAGUAAUCGACUCAAAUUGAUCUAACAAUCACUCAGGUAACGUGCCCUCGGCACAAUCUGACGCCAAAAAGGCGAUACGGGUUCACCGUCAACUCUGACGGCACCCAACAGUCCGAAACGACCUGAUCGACCCUGUAAAAAUCCACUCGGCGAACCAGCACGAGUGUAAAUACAUUCUCAACUACCUGGAGUACUCGUCUCGAAGAAACUGCGACAGUACAAUUUUCUAACGGCUUCUAGAGCUAAAUCAGGUAGUUAAAACUGGUGACAGGUCCAAAUCGCAGGUUUUCUCCUAAUUCAAUUUCCAAGUCCAACAUGUAUAAACUAAUUAAUUAUAAAGCAUGCUCAAAAUUCAGUUCUCACAUUCAAGCACAUAAUCCAUGGAUUUGAGCUAAACUAAAUUACCAAAAAUUCAGAUCUAUACAUGUCGACGAUUAUGAACUUAGGAGUCGAAACCGAUGUAACCCACCUCAAGUGCAAUUUCCUGGCAGCGAACUCAGCCUCGGCCACCCGCGAUGCUGCUGGAUUCCUCAGGGACCACCUAGACCGGUCGCCGAGCUAAAACGACCAAAACAUCACAAAUCAGCCUAAGUUCACAGCAGCUGAAAGAGACCAAGUUUCGACCAAGCUAACCUCGUCCAAAAAUUGCAAGUGAGGGCUCCGUGGAAUCCUCUCGCAGUCUAGAAUCCAAUGAACCAAGUUUCGUCGCGAUCCGACGCUCCUACGCGGAGAACGAGCCGAAAUACUAACAGUCGACGGUAGAUUCUGCGAAAACAGCACUUAAGCUCACAUCAACGAUACCCGAAGUACUCGGAGCAAUUGCGACCAAAAUGCUCACCUCAACAGCGACAACCCUCGGCGCGAUGUCCAGGACAGCGAAGACGCACCCUCGCCCGGCCUCCUCGCAAUGCCCCGGCAACAAACGCUCGCUCGAACGGCUCGCGGCGCGACGUCGGCGAAUCCCCGGCUCAACCGUGCUCCACCUCCACCAAGCCUAGAGAGAGAGAGAAAGAAGAAAGCACAAAAGCCUUCUCUCUCUUCCUCUGUUCGGUUUCCAACUGAUAUAGAGAGGAAGGGAAGGAAUCGUUACAAACGAGGUAGAAAAUUACGGAUUUAGCCCUUACCAACUCCCUUGUACCGGUACACGGAUUGCUGUACCGGUACAAGGCCAAACCCGAGAGCAACUGAGUUCUGUCGCUCGCUCUGUACCGGUACAAAUGGACCCUUGUACCGGUACAACAAGCGACUUCCCAUGAAGGUUGUACCGGUACAGCACAAACCUUGUACCGGUACAGCAGAGUAAAAAUCCUGCAAUUUCGCAGAUUUUCACACAGAAUGCUGCCCUCGCGUCGCACGGAGUCCGUCUCGCGUCUAUUUGACGCCAACGCGACUCGGGCUUGUCUCGACACUCUCCAGAGUUGUCGACAAGUCCCCACUGACAGAAACCGGGGUCUCACAGAAAGAAAGUGAAAAGUUUUUUUAGAGGUGAGGUAUUUUUGUUGUUGUUGUUGUUAUUAAUUCGUUAUCUGUAUUUUUGUAUCUGUGUAAUACUUAAAUUUUUUUUAAACUUAUCUAAAUAUUUUUUUUAUUUUUUUAAUGUUUCUUUUUAGUUUUUU
rnacentral:lncRNA from 1 species